rnacentral:lncRNA from 1 species
ACCAUUUAUAAGGCAAAGAAAAAUAAACAGAAAUAAUCGGAUACUUUAACAAACUGGAUUUCAUAUAUAACAGAUGCAUAUAAUAACUUCAACAAAUUAAUGUAUAUUAUUGCUAUAAACUGUUAAAGCUCAACAAAAUAAAAUAAAAAAAUAUAGAAAAUGUAACAGAAAAUAAAUGUAAAUAUCUAGAUAUAUUAUAGAAAUUAAUAUUCUUAUUCAUGGAAUCUUUGAACAACCUGGUAAAUAACAAAUAAAAUAAUUUAAAACACUGCCAAAGAAUAUUGUAACAUAAAAAUAGUAAUUUCGGUAUAAAACUUCAGUGUCAAAAGUAUAUACCUGUAUUCUAUAUUUGAACACCUUUCACGACACUGUAUUCCAAAAACAUUUUAAACUUUCUAGAUAAAAUAUUCAUAAAGAGUUCUGCAGCACCUUGGUCUGCCACUUCUAACUUCUGUUCUGAUAGUAAGAGUGUAAUGGUGACUGUCAGAAACAAGUAUAAGUGAAUUCAUUGAUUUGUUAUAUUUCAAGAAGAUUGUUAUAUUUCAAGAAGAUUGUCAUAUCAAUUCCAAGUUUUAAAAUCUUUUACCACAACCCAUACCUAAAUGUUGACUGCCAAAGAAAAGAGAACAAAAAUCCUUUUAUAUCGAAAAAUGCUCCCCCCCCCCCCAAAAAAAAAAAAAAACUUGUGUGAAAAUUUCCUAGUUUGAAAAAUGUUAUUAAUGCUGUAUAAACUCUAGCCUUAGAUUGUUCCUAAAUCUAAACUUAGAAAUAAGUCCAUUUAUCAGAAAAAUAUUAAUAAUUUGAAAAUGAAGAAGCUUCUGUCCCAGUAUUAUUAAAAUCCUAGAAAUGUUGAAAAAGUUAUUGAAAUCUAAUUCUAAAAUUUGCUUUGAAGUUUAAACAUUAUGUCACAUUUAGGAAUGAUUAUGAAUGCCUAAAUAACAAAAUCAAUGAAAUGAUUUUCCUUUAAUUUUUUAGAUUUCUUCUACAAAUCUUUGAGUAGAAAAUUCUUAACCGAAACAUUAAAGCUAUCAUGGUACCUUUCUGAAACAAGUUUAAUUCAUUUUGGAUAUGGAUUUCCUUAAAUGGAUUAUUUUACAGAUAAAAUUUAGUAUAUUGUAUCAAAAUUGCCUAGAACAGCAAUAUACAUCAUUAAAUAACACUAGAACACACCCGUGAUAUCGCGGGUCCGUGACUGAUAUAUAACUAUGCGUAUGCCUUAUUUUAGUAUUGGUAUUGUCAUCUGAUAAAGUCAUGUCGAUUAUAACAUGUAUAAGGUGCACAGUUUUCUCUGCUUUCAAAAUCUUUCUGUUUAAACCCGUCGACCUGGAACCUUCAAUUAUUGGUAAUAUCAAUAAUUUGGAAAACAAAAGGGCCUGGAAUGGAGUAUUUUUUACUCAACAGUAUACAGCAAAAUUCUAAAUACACUUUUUGGUGGUGCGCCUGUCAGAUGCGCAACGUACAAAUAAGGUAAUAGGUAACAGGUGAAUAUACUAUUGGUAUCGGUGUCGGACUCGAUCCGGAACUUCUUAAUUAUUGGCAAUAUUAAUUACGUGGAAAACAAAUGGGCCUAGAGUGGUGUAAUUUUUAAUCAACACCAUUGUACUAUAUUAGUUAUAUAUAAAGCUGAAUUCUUUGAUUCAUCGGUUUUACGUGAUGACGGCUGACAAAUUGGACCUCGUAAUUUUAGUAUUAUAGAUAUGAACUUUUAUAUCUGAAUGACUAUAUCUAUGGAUGCAAAUUUAUAUAAAUUAUUAAGCAUACAUUCUCCUACAAAAUUGCACACAUUCAUACACAUUUGCAAUAUUUUAAACAUUUGAUAGUUUCUUUGAUCUAUUUGCGUAGAAAAUAAAAUACUGAACCUUUGUACAGUGUGUGAUCGGCAAUGCCUUAGGCAUCGUUAGUCUUGAAAGGGUUAAUUAAUGGAAACUUCAGUAGAAAGGUUUCUUAAUUUUUAAACAUCUCUUACUUUUAUUACCUA